rnacentral:rRNA from 1 species
GCAGCCGCGGUAAUACGUAGGUGGCGAGCGUUGUCCGGAUUUAUUGGGCGUAAAGGGUCCGUAGGAGGUUUUGCAAGUUUGACGUGAAAUCCCGGAGCUCAACUCCGGAACUGCGUUGAAAACUGCAGAACUCGAGUACUGGAGAGGUAAGCGGAAUACCAGGUGUAGCGGUGGAAUGCGUAGAUAUCUGGUAGAACACCAAAAGCGAAGGCAGCUUACUGGACAGAGACUGACUCUCAAGGACGAAAGCGUGGGGAGCAAACAGGAUUAGAUACCCC